rnacentral:lncRNA from 1 species
GUUGCUGGAACCUCUGUGAAAGCAGAGGAAGCUGGAAAGGAUGUAAUACAGUAGCUGCUGAUGAUCAUCUUGCCACCAUAGGGCUCUUUCAGAUCUUCAAGAAUGUUUAAGCAUACAAAGAAGCCCCGAGACCACAAGGGUGAGAACUACCAUCCUCCCCGCUCUCCGGAUGCUCCCACAGCCUGGGCUCCCCAGUGCAGAGCCAGCACCAAGCAGGAGAUGCAGUACAGUGUGCCCAGGACCAUGGCAGCCAUCACAUAUGCCCUCCACUGGGGAACAAGAAGUGCGUUAGGCUGAUGUACUCCACUCCACCUCCAUACGUGUUUGUGCAGUGACACCAGCCUGGAGGGCCUUCUAUCGCCAUCUCCCUCCUCUGUAAAUCCUACCCACUCUUUGAGUCUUGGCCCAAGGGCUGCUGUCUCUCUCUCUCUCAAAUGAUUUCUGUGUUCUCAUUUGUCUCUGCCUUCUCUGGGAAUCUUUGGUGCCACAGGGUAAUCUCCUGUGUGUCACUCCUGACUUCCUAAUUCAUCUGCCAUCUCCUUCCUUGAAAGCGGAAAUAGUGACUUCUUCUGCUUCCCUACAUUGCCUAAUAACAAUAACAACUACCAUAAUAAUACUUGCUAACAAUUAUUAAACAGUCACCAUUAUAAUAUUAGCUCAUUUACUCCUUGCAACAGCUCUCUAAGGUGGGCUCUAUGAUAUUAGCCUCAUUUUACAGAUGAGAGGACUGAGGCUCAGAAAGGUUAAAGAACUGCCCAAGCCACACAGUUCAGAAAUGGAGGCCAGCAUAUAAGCCAGUUCAACUCUGAUUGGCGACUGCUAGAAAUCAAUGGAGUGAUAUGCACUUAGCACUGUGCCGGGGGGAUAGAAAGUGCUCUACUACCCAGUAAGCAUUUAUUGAGCACCUACUAUGUGUCAGGCACUGCUAGGUGCUGUGGGUUCAGCUGUGAGCCAAGCAAAGUCCCUUCUCUCCUCGUGCUUGUAGGCUGUUCCUGCCUAAGCCUUCCCUCUGCUGUUCCCUCAGCUUGAAAUGUUUUCCCCAGGUUCCCACAUGGCUUGCUCCAUCACCUCCUUUAGGUCUCUGCUCAAAUAUCACCUUAUCAGUGAGGCUUCCUCUGACCUCACCACCUAAAAUCUCAACUUGCUCUGCCCUUCCCUGCAGCACAUCCUGCCCGAUGCCUGCAUGUGCUAUGGGCCUCACUCACUCAUGGGUAAUAUCUGUUUCCCCUGCAGGACGUCAGCUCUGUGAGGGUGGAAGAUGUGUCUGUCUUUUCCCUGCUAUAGCCUCUGGCACAGCAUAGCACCUGGUAUACAGUAGAUGCUCAGAAACCAUGUGCCAAAUGGAUGAAUGAGCAUGGUUGGUGGUGAAAAUUGUUAUGAGGAAGAAUGAAGAGAGUUGGUGAGCAGGAAGUUGCUGUUGCCAUCAAGGGAGCCAUUGUCCCAUGAGCCAUUGAACUCCACGGAGCCCUAGUUUAUGCUGCUGUGGAAGUGGCUCCCCAGCUUUCCCUAGAUGUGGGCUCCUACUAGCAUGCUGACAGCUUCCAUACCUAUGCCUGCGGAGGCGACUUAGGAGACCAGCGGACUUACUUCCUGGUCCCAGGAUGAAGUAAAGAAGCCAGCAGAUGGUGCCAAAGGCAACCUCUAUUUACCCUUGCUGCUCAUUAGCAUAAGACACUCCCACCAGUGCCGUGACAGUUUACAAAUGCCAUGGCAACGAGCUGCAAGUUACCACCCCUUUCCAUGGCAACAACUCGGCAUUUGUUCUUUUCUAGAGCAUUCUGAAUAACAAACCUCUUAAUUUGCAUGUAAUUAAAAACUUUUGGGUCUGGUAAAGAUCUUAAAUGUUUUUAGCACACACACACACACAAAUGUAAGUGGGUGAGGUGACAGAUGUGUUAACUAACACGAUUGUGGCACUCAUUUCACAAUGUAUAUGUAUAUCAAAUCAGCAUGUUGCACACCAUAAAUUUACACAAUUUUGUCAAUCAUACCUCAAGAAAGCUGGGAAAACAGAAUCAUACCACAAAUUCACUGUUUUAGAACAUGCAAUUAAGCAGUUUUAGUAUAUUUACAGAACUGUGCAACCAUUAUCACUACUAAUUCUAGCAUAUUU